AGGGCGGCUGGUUGAACCGCAGAAUAAUUCUCCACUUGGAGCGGUUUGUCACUACGGAACUGAGCAUCUGUAAAAGAAUACAGACUGUAAUUUUAUAUCUUCAGUGAACGGAGCUUCACCCUGUCUGCACGGUUUCCCAAAGCAGUGUACAUUUCCCUUCAGUUGGUUUGUGGGCUUCUGGAUGUUUUUACCUCUCUUCUCUGGACUUUGCGAGAGAAAAAAAAUUGCAGGACGUCUUUGGGAUCCUGUUGAUGUUCACAGGAGCUGCAUCAGGUUUGCUGUUUCAGGAUCCUGUUGUCUGUAGAUUUAAUGAGAGUAGUCAGUGUCAUGUAGCUCUGGGACAACGACUGCACCUGCAAAUGCCCCUGGAGGAUAUGUUUGAACUAAAGAUCACAGACAAGACAUCUACCGAUCGUUUCAUUUUAAAAUAUAGAAAAACCCAAAGUAACCCACCAAAACCAAAUGACCCAAGAUGGCAGUUUGUUAAAGAUAAUAAAACUAUGAUACUAACCAGUGCAGAGAGGA